GCCUAGUUAGCUUAGUUGCUAGUGCGUCUGCCUUGUAAGCGCUAGGCCGCGGGUUCGAUUCCCGCCCGGGGUG
rfam:Asian citrus Psyllid, Diaphorina citri - Florida Strain, whole genome shotgun sequence.